rnacentral:rRNA from 1 species
UUUGCCGGUGAGUUUACCGCGAGGGUCACACCCGUUCCCAUCCCGAACACGGAAGUUAAGCCUCGUUGGGCCGAUGGUACUGCACGCGUAAGUGUGUGGGAGAUUAGGUGAUCGCCGGCAU